AUACGUAGGAUCCGAGCGUUGUCCGGAUUUACAGGGCGUAAAGGGUGCGUAGGCGGCUUGUUAAGUCUCAUGUGAAAUCUCCCGGCUUAACUGGGAGGGGUCAUGGGAUACUGGCAGGCUUGAGGUCAGUAGAGGAGAGCGGAAUUCCCGGAGUAGCGGUGAUAUGCGUAGAUACCGGGAGGAACACCAGAGGCGAAGGCGGCUCUCUGGGCUGCACCUGACGCUGAUGCACGAAAGCGUGGGGAGCGAACCGGAUUAGAUACCCCAGUAGUCC
rnacentral:rRNA from 1 species